UAUACAUGAAAUACAAAAUAUAACAAAAUAAAUAAAUACAAUUGAUUUUAGCUGCACGAUUAUACACAAGCAAAUUUCAACUCAUUCUUUGUUUCAAUAUCGACUUGAAAGAGUUUAGGGAUUCAGCAAUUUUUGCCUCAUGGGGAAGAUUAUUCCAAUGCAAGGCACCAUUAUGACUGAAGCACCUCUUGCCGAAUUCUUUUUUCGGCAUAGGUGGUGCUAAAUCAGUAUCCGAAUUUCUAAGAUUGUAACUAUUAUGUCUUUCAUUAUUAAAAUGAAAUGCUUCUUUAAGAUUGGGUGCGGUGUGGCCAUUCAGAACUUUAUAGAUGAAAAUAGAUUUAAGAUAAUUUCGUCUUUCUUCUAGAGGUUUCCAAUUUAGAUUAUUGAGUAACUCAGAUGACCGAAUAUCGUAGGUUGCACCAGUAAUUACUCUUGCAGCACGAUUUUGGUAUUUUUGCAACUUAUCUUUGAGCCCAAUUCCACAAUUAUCCCACAAAGAGCUGCAAUAAUCGAAAUAAGGCUGUAUAAUAGCAUUAUAUAGCAUUUUGGUUGUCGACAGUGGUACAAAAGGUUUAACACGUCUCAUUGCACCAAUACCGGCACCAACUUUAGAACAGAUUGAAUCAAUAUGUUUAUCCCAAGACAACCUUUCGUCCAUAGUCACGCCAAGGCAUGAAUAUUUAUUAAUCCUGGGUACUAGCUUAUUAUUAAUUAAAAUGGGAUUACCAGAUACUUUAUUCUUAAGGUUAUAGGGAGACCCAAUGAACAUAUGUUUCGAUUUACUGGGGUGGAUUUGGAGUUUAUUGUGUAUCAUCCAUUUGCGUAUGUUUUCGAGAUCAAUAUUUACCUUGUCGACAAGGUCGGCGCAGUCAUUAGAAGAUGCAUAAA